rnacentral:tRNA from 1 species
GGGUCACUAGCUCAGCUGGUUAGAGCACUCGCCUGAUAAGCGAGAGGUCGGUGGUUCGAGUCCACUGUGUCCCACCA